CUUCUGUUCCAUAUCCAAUUACGACGACUCCAUGAUUUAUAUGCUGAGAACACUUUGGAUCAUCAUAUACACCUACAUAAAAAGGAUAAAGAAUCACUUUCAGGUGAAUGCAAUCAUAUUUCUGAAGAAGAAGAAAGAACAACUUUGUUUCAGAUGAUGCACGCAUACAAUAAGCAAAGAUCAUCUUAGAAGAGGUACGUCUUUGUAACUCCCAGUGCCUGUUGAGUGUGGGGUCCUUCUCCCAGUAUGCAGAUGAUGAUGAAGCAGCAGCAGCAAAUGCCAGGAAAACACAGGCCCACAGUUCCAUCCUGCUGAGGCAGACACAGAAAGCUGGGUGUAAGAAGCCUUCCUGUUCCAGGAGCCCCUUUCUUAUGUUGUUUCUCCAGCUGAACCUUUCACCAACACUGCUCCUGCUUCACCUGCAUGCUGUUGAUAAAAAGGCUACUUUCGAUUUCUUAUGCUCAACGUCACAUGAGCCUCCCCACCCCAAUAAAGGAAAUGCCUUGCUUUCAUUACAAUGUAGUCCAUCCUCUCUUACCUCGGCUGUAGAAGUGGAAGGAGGCCAGGCUGGCAUCGAUGGCCACAGCGAUGGGGCCUAUCCGGGCAACAGCUCUUUUCAGGGCCUUCUCGUUCCCCUCGGGGAUCUCCCUGUAACCACGGCACUUGGCAGCUUUACCAGUUGGGUUAUACAUACAGUUUUCAUCCUGCAAGGUGGAUGAACAGGAGAGGGUGAAUACAGAGCAUGGCAGAUUGUGCAGAGGAGCAGUGGAGUUUUGGUUUGGAGCUCAGGUUUCCCAUUACCUGGCCAAUAUAUGGUCCAUUUCGUCAGGAACCCUCUUUUCCCAGUCUGGGAUGUAGAGGGUGUCGUUGGUUUGUUUGCGUGAGGAAGGGACUUUGAGCCCCGUCAUCUUCUGAACAACUUCUUCACUGGUCUGGAGAAGGAAAAACAGCGAGCGAGCGAAAGGUGGAUAGAUGCAUUUGUACUCUAAAACUACAAUUCUGGCAGCACAGCAAACCAGAGAGGUUUUGAUUUUCAAAGGAGAGCCUAACUGCAAACAGCUUACAUCCAGCCUUCGCCAAUGCGCUGCCCUCCAGAUGUUUGAGGACUACAACUCCCAUAACCCCUGGCCAAUAUGGCUGUAGAGCACAGCUGGGAGCACCAGAUUGAGCAUGAGGUGCAGGCGAUGCUGAUCACUGGGCUGCUGUCAGGUCAGGCUGUGCUUUAAUACCUAGUUUUAAACGUGUUCUGAUGCAUUAUAAUCACUGCUUUUAACUAGCUUGUUUUUAUUGCUUUGUAUUUUUGUCCUCAAAUGUUGUAAGCUGCCUUGGAUCCCAAUUUGGGAAUAAUAAUAAUAA